GCUCGCCCCGCGGAACGUGCAAAAGGGUCAAAACCCUAGCCGCUAGUUCUCGUCAAGCGCGCGGCCCCUCCGCCUCGUCUCCUCCCUACUCCCUCCUCUCACACGACGCCGCCCUCGAGCCCGCGCCGCCUCGACCUCGUCUCCUCCCCGCUCCCUCCUCUACAACGCAGCCGCCCUCGAUGCGCCGUAAGGAGCAGGGCAACGGAUUGGAUCGAGGGCGCCCUAGCCUCGCCGCCGCUACACCUGGAUUCGCUAGCCGCCGCGUCGAGUCACCUCCGUCGCCGCCGCGAGUCAGCUCCACCGUUGCCGCCAGGAAUCCCUUCCCGACAAGGAAAAUUCCUAGGGAUUUGAUUGAUGGAGGCAUCACUAUUUGGCGCUGGAUUAUCCAUUUUUGCAGCACCAGCAAUGUUGUUUUUGUUUGGAAUGGCCAGUUCUCAAUUUCUAAAUCGGCUAUACUAUACUUCUUGUCAGGUUACAUUAUCUUGCUUGGUUUCAGUCUAUAUGUAGCACAAAAAUAGGUGACAUGGUUGGUUUGUAUGUUACACUAAGGAACACCACCAUAAGGAUAAGGGCAUUGCACUUCUUUGUUUAUAUUUGGUCUGUUCCUAUUCGAUUUGCUGUAGUACUUAAUUGCUACACCAUUUCAAGUUUCUUACUGUUUGCUUCUUGCUGUUUCAUUGUAUUCAGUUAUGAUAUAUUUUUCAACUAUACAAGCACUUGGGGAAGUCGGGAAAACUGAACCAAAGACAAACACUUUUACUGGUGAUGUUGGGGCUUUUUUUUUUAACUGAGAUGUGAAAGAUGCAUCUUAUCCCCUGAGAUAUAUUGCCUUUAAUCUCUUGAUUUUUUUCCCUGACAUGCUAAUAUAGAGCCAGAUAUGCAUGAUUCAUCAUACACAUUACAGCCAAUUAUCCAUUGGUUCUUUUGUCCAUAGAGGUGAUUUUGUUUGGACCAUUAGUCUAGGUAGUGACAUUUUGAUCGAUAAGGCACAAGUUUAUUUUCUUUUUCAUUCGGGCUACACUAAAGUAAGCAUAACCGUCAGUGAAAUGAAGGCAUACAAAUCAUGAAGUUUUUGCCUUGGCUGUGUGCCUCGUUUAGUUGUCACUUAUUUAUUUCUGGGAAGUUAUUCAAUUCUCAUUGAGCUUUCCUUAUGCUUUCCAUUGCUAAAGAAGAAAUUUAAAUACGCAAUAUUUUUAAUGUCUGAGGAGGCGAGAGGAGAUGAAAAAGGGCUGUAAGGUUGUACUUUGGUGCGUCUCUGGCCAAUGAUGGCUGGAUCCAUCUGACGCUCUUCCAAGCAGAGCAGUGCAGAUUUGCUGACUGAGCAGCGGAGGAACAUGUUUCUACAAAUGUGCCAAAACUGAUGGAUUUAACUAGAGGAUGGAGCAGCAGGCAUAGAUGAAAUCUACUGCCAAUUUCUAUUGGUUGCGGCAUCUUCCGCUGAGUAACUCAACAGAACAGCCUGCUAGCAUUGAUUCUUGCAAUAAAAAAAGUCUGGUAUCAUUCAUAAAAAGCCUAUAGACAUAGAUAAUUUCUUAAUCCUGCACUGGUUCUCACCAGUGAGAUUGUAGAUGUGGUAUUUUGUUUCUUAAUCCUGCACUGGUUCUCACCAGUGAGAUUGUAGAUGUGGUAUUUUGAGAAUACCAGUGUAAUUCACUGGUCCAAAAGCUCCAUUUCUUAAUGUGUUUUUGCAGAAUGCCAGUAAUGUUUUUCUUUUCCUUAAUGUACAAACAUAUCUAUGAGAUAUGAUUUUGGAUCUGAACUUUUCCCUGUCUGCAUCUCACAUUGUGGUAUGAUCAUGGUACAGCAAAAGGAAAAGAUGUUUAAACUUUUUUUGGGCGUCAUACAUGAAAAGUACCUUUAUUUCCAUCGAGCUUAAUUACUAAGAAAAUGUUACCACUGUUUCCUUACUAAUAAACCUAAAUGUUCUGAAAGUUCGGUCUCUUGCUCUCUUUGCUUAUGAAUCAAACACUUUCCCUUUCUUUAGUCCUUACACGGUUCCACCUCGGUUAGACUUCAUACUUUGAUGGUGUUUGUAGGUAUGAAGACUUGAAGAGUGGUCAUAAUGUUACUUAAAGGAGGCCUCAACUUGCACCAAAUACAUGGGCAUGUGCAACAACAACUUAUGUAGGUGAGUAGGUAUUUAUGCUUAGUUUUGACUUGAGUACAAAAAAGAGCUUGCUGACAUAUACAAGAGAAUAGGCUACCCAUUCUUGAAUUGAAUCAGAUUAGUAGACUAAACCACUGUGGUGUACUCUUUGCUGCUGAGUUAUUACAAUCCAACUGAAAAUAAGGGGAAAACAAACAUGAUCCUGCCAUUUAAAUUAUCUCAUGUUCGUGGAGAAAAGUUGCAUAGUUAGCUAUUGCAAAAUACUAUCGACCCAGUUUUUGUUCAAUAGACGUCCCUUCUUCGAAUGUAGCUUGAACCUGCGCAAGGGCAUGGUAGCAUGCUCAUUCUAUUUUUACUAAGGUGGUUACACUUUCCUACUUUUUACUGAAAGAGAGUCAAUUUAGUCAUGAGCUAUAGUGGCGUUUCUGUUUACUGAAUUUCGUUUUGCAGUUCCCUUCUCUUAAAUGUUUAUUCAAAUGUGCCUAAUGUUUUUUUCAUGUUUCUAAAAACUAAUAAAUGUUGCUCUCAAAUCAGUUAGGAGGCUGAAGGUAGUAGCUUACUGAACUCUCAUUUCCGGAAAAAUCUGGAGAUGUCUUGGUAUGGAGUUUCAUGAUCAACUUGCUCCGGCAUAGUUAGUCUUUCUAGACUAAUUGUUUGUCAGUAUAUAUUCUAUACAUGUGUUUGAUUGGUUGUGCAAACAUGCAUGCAUUGUUCUGUGUGGAAAUUGCUUUAUCCGGUCUGUUCUAUAGCAAUGUUUCCAGUGGCUGUUUAGCACAUAUAUUUAGAUAGUUGCAUACGCAUGCUUGGUUCUGCCAGAAAAUUAUCUUCCCUGAUAUGUUUUCAGAUGCUAUUUGGUAUACAUGUUUGUCUUUGUCAUGUUUAUGUUGAGUUGUGGGUUCCAAAGGUAUUUAUGAUGAUCGUUUGCAUGGUGGGUCAUGUCAGCGAUGUGCAUUGCAUAUUCAUGAUUCAAACUCUUUGUUGGGUAUAUAUCUAUAUGAAGUUGUUUUUGAAUGGCCCAUGAUUCAUUUUUUAUUAGUAUUUUAGUUUAAGCAUUUCUCCAGAGAAUCUUGAUAUCCAGCUGUAUAUAUAUCCAGUCAUGUUUUUUUACUCUGACCGUUUUUUGUUUUGUUUUACAGUUUGUACAAUCUCUAAAGAUGGUGCUCCAUUGUUCUGUUAAUCAAGAUUUGUUCCCUCCUUUCUUACUAGCUGAUACGUGAUGACCGUUUGCAUGGGGGGUUAUGUUAACUAUAUUCUAUUCAUGAUUCAAACUGUUUGUUGGGUAAUUUAGUUUAGACAUUGUGUCCUUAGAAUCUUGAUAUCUAGCUGUAUCGGUAUAGUAUAGUUUGUGAUUUUUCCCUCUGAAUUUAUAUGUCCACUCAGGUUGGGAUAGGUUAUGAGUAUUCUUAGUGUGGAAACAGCGGCAGUGCUGUACUUUCAUCAGAUGAUGAUACGCCAACCUUGCCCCAUUUGGCUCUAUGUUACCCCAAUAAGAUAGCAAAAUACACAUGCUCAAGUAUAUAUUUUCAAAGAUGAAUUAUCCUUCAUUUUCCA